GUUACGAAUUGCACUGGAGAUGAGCUGUACUGUGCCGAAGGACUUCUGGAUAUAAGUCUUCUGGAGGUCAGCUUGAAGGGAUGUGCAAACAGAGCUCUCUGUGAUAGUCUGGUUGGAUAUGAAGCCAUGGCUCCUGUAAACAGUGGACAUCACGCUAUGCAAUGCACACCAGACUCUUCAAUCUACCAACAGGAAGUCUCCACCGUUGGCCAAUGGAAUGACCUAACUCAAGGGAACUCUGGGGGUGUUAAUAAUUCCAUACCCAGAUGGUUUGGGCUCAUCAUCACAAUUCUUUCUGGCAUCCUUCUGGGGAAACUCCUGGGUUGAUUUUUGCCAAGUGUAAAGAUUUCAUCAUAGGAGAAAAAUCGAGCUGGCCUUUGGUAUUCCAAAA